UACGAAGGGGGCUAGCGUUGCUCGGAAUCACUGGGCGUAAAGCGCACGUAGGCGGCUUACUAAGUCAGGGGUGAAAUCCUGGAGCUCAACUCCAGAACUGCCUUUGAUACUGGUGAGCUUGAGUCCGGAAGAGGUGAGUGGAACUGCGAGUGUAGAGGUGAAAUUCGUAGAUAUUCGCAAGAACACCGGUGGCGAAGGCGACUCACUGGGUCUUUACUGACGCUGAUGCACGAAAGCUAGGGUAGCAAACGGG
rnacentral:rRNA from 1 species